UUAGAAAAAAAAAAAAAAAAAACAAUCCGUUCUUGUUGACCCUUCAAUUUUAGGUUGUUCAUGAGGUUGAUUUUGAGAUAUUGAGUUAUUUUGCAGGCACGAAUUACAUGGCAUUGAGCAUGAGAGCGAAUCGUCUUAAUAUCAUGUGGAUAUUAUAAUUUAAUCUAUUAGAAUUCACCGUUGUAUUAAUUAGAAAGUUGUGAUAGUUAUUAGUUGGUUUUAGCCUGUGCGUUUGAGUAUAAGUGAGAUACUCAAGCGUGGCAUAACGCCCCUUUUUCUUUUGUUAGUAGUUGAAGUCUUCCGCUGUUGUAUAGUUGAAUUGUAAAUAAAUAAAUAAAAAAUUUACCCGUA